GGCGGAGACCGACGGAUCGAAUG
rnacentral:siRNA from 1 species